rnacentral:rRNA from 1 species
ACCAUGGGAGUCAGUAACGCCCGAAGCCAGUGACCCAACCUUAGGGAGGGAGCUGUCGAAGGCGGGACCGAUAACUGGGGUGAAGUCGUAACAAGGUACC